rnacentral:rRNA from 1 species
GACGAACGCUGGCGGCGUGCUUAACACAUGCAAGUCGAACGAUGAAGCCGGAGCUUGCUCUGGUGAAUUAGUGGCGAACGGGUGAGUAACACGUGAGUAACCUGCCCUUGACUCUGGGAUAACUGCGGGAAACUGUAGCUAAUACCGGAUACGACCCUCGGAGGCAUCUCCUGGGGGUGGAAAGAAUUUCGGUCAAGGAUUGACUCGCGGCCUAUCAGCUAGUUGGUGAGGUAAAGGCGCACCAAGGCGACGACGGGUAGCCGGCCUGGGAGGGUGACCGGCCACACUGGGACUGAGACACGGCCCAGACUCCUACGGGAGGCAGCAGUGGGGAAUAUUGCACAAUGGGCGCAAGCCUGAUGCAGCAACGCCGCGUGAGGGAUGACGUCCUUCGGGUUGUAAACCUCUUUUAGCAGGGAAGAAGCGAAAGUGACGGUACCUGCAGAAAAAGCACCGGCUAACUACGUGCCAGCCGCCGCGGUAA